rnacentral:rRNA from 1 species
GACGAACGCUGGCGGCGUGCUUAACACAUGCAAGUCGAGCGGUAAGGCCCUUUCGGGGGUACACGAGCGGCGAACGGGUGAGUAACACGUGGGUGACCUGCCCUCAGCUCUGGGAUAAGCCUGGGAAACCGGGUCUAAUACUGGAUAUGACUCCAUGACGCAUGUUGGUGGGGUGGAAAGCCUUGUGCGGCUGAGGAUGGGCCCGCGGCCUAUCAGCUUGUUGGGUGGGGUGANGGCCUACCAAGGCGACGACGGGUAGCCGGCCUGAGAGGGCGACCGGCCACACUGGGACUGAGACACGGCCCCAGACUCCUACGGGGAGGCAGCAGUGGGGAAUCUUGCGCAAUGGGCGAAAGCCUGACGCAGCGACGCCGCGUGAGGGAUG